CGGUAAUUCCAGCUCCAAUAGUGUAUAUUAAAGUUGCUGUGAUUAAAACGCUCGUAGUUGAAUUAAAAUGUGAUUUUAUACAUUUUGAAGACUUUGCAUAAGUAAAGUUUCUAGAAAUGUUAAAUUAAAAUCAAAGAAGGAAACAAUUCAAGUAAUUGAGUUGUUAUUACUUUGAAUAAAAUAAGGUGUUUAAAGCAAAACAUUAUGUUAAUGAAUAUUCAAGCAUGGGACAAUGCUGAGGGGAUGUCAAUAAGACAUUUCGAGAGAAGGAUUAAAAGGAACAAUUGGGGUGAUUCAGAAAAUAACGGGAGAGGUGAAAAUCCAUGAUCGCUAUAAGAUGCACGAGAGCGAAAGCAUUUCACUCAACUGUGUCCAUUAAUCAAGAACGAAAGUU
rnacentral:rRNA from 1 species